rnacentral:lncRNA from 1 species
UUCUUUAAAGGGACACUAUGUAAUAUUUUGAGUAAUUCAUUACCUCAAAUCAACGUAUUCAUUCAUAAAUAAGUCCUCAUUGGAGUAAAUUUAUCUCUGCCAAGAAUGUCACUUAACCUCCUGAGCGAAGAAUAAUUAAUAUUAAUAUCAAUAUGGUUACAUAGGACGGGUAAGCUUCAUGGAGGCUUCCAUGUUCUUCCGGUCUAUGAACUGCCGAGAGGGACAAAAAGCAAUACGUGGUACAGGAAUUGCAAACGCGUUUUCACUCUGAGCCAGCGUGACUGUGGAACAGAGCUUAGCUUAGUUUAGCGAGACGAGUUUUACCGGCAAAUUUGAACAUGCACCGCAUUUUUGUGAAAGACCAUACUUAUGCCACGCCACAGGAGAAGGAAUCAUCGUCGCCAAAAAAUCAGAAUUCGGAGCAUCGUUGUUUUCCACGUACGUGACGUUACAAGAGCGAGGGAGGCAAACUAUAAGCGUCAGCAACACCAAGCAGAGAAGCGAGAGAGCGCCGCGCCAAUCAACUGUGAGCGUCUUGGGAAUACCCGGUCGAUAUAAUAUGGACACAUAAGACAAUCAAUAUUCGGUAUUUGUUAUGGAUUUAUUGUACAAAUUCCCUGAGAAGAUGCACGUUCCAGGAUGAAUUGAAAAGCUCCCGUAAGGGCUGAGAUGGCAGAGGACAGCUGAUUUGGAACGGAACAACAGCUGUUCGAGAGAGACAAAGGAGUGAGGCUGCUGGUUCACACUGUUGCACAUUUGUUUUGUUUGCUUGGAAGAUCGGAAAAUAAACCUGCAGAAAUCUAAAUUCAUGACUGGACUGGACAGUUGACUCUUUCCCCUGCACCGCGUAAGAUUCGUCCCCCCUGGGGCCUCAGUGGCUAUUUUGAUAACUUUGCUUUGUUUGAAUUUCUUAAUCUUAAAGUUAUUGUUUUAUUGAGGACAAAUCGCCACCACAAUAUGUAUUAUAUGUACUGUGUUAGAGUGUCAUUUUGUGUCAUUUUGGUUGGUGGUGUGCCCCAGGAUCUUUUAAAUGAAAAAAGUGUGCCGCGGCUCAAAAAAGGUUGAAAAUCACUGGCUUACACUAAUGAUUCAAUGCAGUUUGAAAUAACGAACCUCAUCAUCACUCGAAUGACUCGAUGAGGUAGUAUUGGAUGUCAUGACACAGCUUCUUGGCACAUACUGGCCACCGUAGUUUUUGAACAAGCGAGCACUAUUAGUUUGAAUGCAAUAUACAAUUGUACCACUAGAUGGGAGUAAUUUUUACACAGUGUCCCUUUAAAUAUACAAUUAUUUAGUUAUAAUAUUAUAAGUAGACAUGUAGCUUUAAUUCAAUUAUCGUUAUAACAAGAUCUGUAUGCUAGAGCGUGCACAGCCCGCCCCCCCUUUCUGAAGUCGAAAAAAAUCUCCAGAUUGUAAUGCAUUGGUUUAAUAUUGAAUUAAUUGAAUAUUAAAAUAUAUAUUAUAUAAAUCAAUAUACAAUUAUUUAGUUAUUAUAUUUAGACCAUGUAGCUUUUAUUCAAUUAUCGUUAUAACAAGAUCUGUAGCCUAUCUGACCGUUGAAAAUCCACUUCCACAAAUGUCUAAGUGUGGUUCAGGUGUGAAAAUAGUGACUAUUAGAUAAGUACACCCCCCAUAUUUUAUUUUAUUGUGUGAAAUCCUUAUUUUUGCCAUCAUUAGUUUAAUCCAAAUUCAUAUGUAAUAUGUCUCAUAUUGGAAACUUUGGUUGGCUUUUAUUUUGAAACUCCACAUCAGAAUGUUCUGAAACCUUCUGCGUGACCCCAUGGGGUCGUGAACUAUAACCCUGAAGUGAAAUGAGCCUGAAAUAACAGGGCAUUUCCUUUUAAAUUGAAUCCAAAAUCAUAUGUAAUAUGUCUCAUAUUGGAAACUUUGGUUGGCUUUUAUUUUGAAACUCCACAUCAGAAUGUUCUGAAACCUUUUGCGUGACCCCAUGGGGUCGUGAACUAUAACCCUGAAGUGAAAUGAGCCUGAAAUAACAGGGCAUUUUCUUUAAAUUGAAUCCAAAAUCAUAUGUAAUAUGUCUCAUAUUGGAGAUUUUGGUAGGCUUUUACUUUGAAACUCCACAUCAGAAUGUUCUGAAAGUUCUUGUGUGACCCCAUGGGGUCUUGAACUAUAACCCUGAAGUGAAAUGAGCCUGAAAUAACAGGGCAUUUUCUUUUAAAUUGAAUCCAAAAUAAUAUGUAAUAUGUCUCAUAUUGGAGAUUUUGGUUGGCUUUUACUUUGAAACUCCACAUCAGAAUGUUCUGAAACUUCUUGUGUGACCCCAUGGGGUCUUG